CACAAUCGAUAUUUAAUAAAGAAAAGAAGAAUGACGUUUGAAUAAGACGGAAAAAGGAAAAGAUGAAAAUCAGAAAAAGAAAGCGAGUCGAAAAAAAAAUGGAAGGGACGAAAAAAGGAGCGAUGACUCACGAAGAAGUGAAAGGUUGGUUUGUUUGUAUUGUAACAUACGUCUGUCUGUUUCUUCGUGUUUGAACCUAUGGUCUUUAUUGAAAUCGAAAGGCAUCCCUCUCCUCUGAGAAUUCUGAAUCUGAAGCGGUGGAUCUCUCAGGAUUCGUCGAUAUCAACCGAUUUUCGUUCGUUAGUUUGGGUCUAUCCGCCGAUCGAUUCGUUUACCGUGUUGUAAACACUGUGAUCGUACGAAUAAUCUGUUUUCUUUUCUUGAAUUAAUAAAAAUAUUAAUUAAUUCAACAUCGAAUAACGAUUAAUUAAUUAAAAUUUUACACUCUUUUAGAUGCUGAGGAUUUUUCCACGAAGUGUUGUUAAUAAGGAAAUUUCUAUUACGGAUAUGUAGAACGGCAGGAAGAAUAAACAAGUUUAAGUGGAACAAUAUUUGAUUCAUUAAUUUUCUUCCGAAAUAUUAAGAAUUCGAUGAAAAUAUUUGAAGUGACUAUUUUUUUCGUACAAUUAAAAUGAACUUUUUGUGAAUUGUUAUAGCGAUAUUAGUUUCUUUUUCUUUUUGAUGAUCGAAGGAGUUAUUUAUUAUUGAUAAUAGGAGUUUUGAGAAAGAUCAAAAAAAAAAAAAAUGGAAAAUGAAGUUAGCUGUAUGGAAAAAGAGUGUUUGAUCGAAAGAAGAAGAGCGACUACGUUGGAAGAAUGUUCUCAUAUAAUUGGGCUGAAUGGCGUGGCUCGUUACAACAGAGAAGCGUUUAAACAACUUUUGCAAGAUUCGACGUUAAUGGACAAAUUGUUCUCGUUAUUCGAUCGAAAUGGAGACAGAAUAUUGACGCAAGAUGAAUGGAUCGAAUUUUUAAAGGGGAGAUUGAAAAAUGAAAAAUCAAAUGAUCUCAUCGUUCAAUUCGAGAACGUUGCAUAUUCCAUAUGCUGUGAUAAUCCAGUAACUUUUGAAAAAUUUCAACAAAUAUUUUCCACCAAAGAGAUCGUAGAUAAAUUAUUUCGACGAAUCGAUGAAGAAAAUUUGGGGUACAUCACAUCCUUUCAAAUCAUGGAAUUCCUUUCGAACAUCAGCGAUACAAGGCCGCUCGCUGGAUUCGACAAGCGAAGUCUGGAAUGGCUGGAAAAGAUCUUCAAACAGACGGUGGGCAAUGAGAAGGAAAUUAGACGCGAAGAAUUCAACAAAAUCGUCACUUCGAAGAACCCGUUCUUCACCGACAGAGUGUUCCAAAUUUUCGACAAGGAUAAUUCUGGAACCAUAUCUCUUCAGGAGUUCGUCGAUGCUAUGCACCAGUUUGCAGGAAAAAGUCCUGACGACAAGAUAAAAUUCCUGUUCAAGGUUUACGACAUUGAUGGCGAUGGAUUGAUACAGCUUCGCGAGUUGGAACACGUGAUGAGAGCUUGUUUGGAGGAAAAUGGAAUACGAUUUAGCGAGGAACAAAUCGAGGAAUUAACCAUGGCUUUGUUCGAUGAUGCCGAUCAGUCUAACCGAGGCGCCAUUACUUUCGAAGCUUUGAAGAAACAGUUAGAGAAACACGAAGGACUUUUAGAGAAUCUUUCAAUCAGUAUCGAUCGAUGGCUAGUACCACCAAAACCAGAAUCGAAGAGGAAAUCACGCUUGCAAUUCCUCGCUUCGUUGCGUCCUUAUCAAUUGACGAAGCCGUACAUAAAGAACAAUUACGUUUACAUCGUUUUCAUCUCGAUCUUUGUCCUGAUCAACGUGUCUUUAUUCGUGUCGAGACUCUACGAGUACAGAAAGUCCAAUGGCUAUGUUAUGCUUGCUCGUGCAUGUGGCCAGUGCUUGAAUUUCAACUGCAGCUUCAUCCUGGUUCUUAUGCUGCGUCAGUGCAUCACCUUUCUACGAACUCACGGUUUCAAUUCUGUAUUGCCACUGGAUCAACACAUUUAUCUGCACAAAGUGACUGGAGGUUUAAUCGGUGUCUUCAGCAUAGCUCACACGUUGAUGCAUCUUCUUAAUUUUGGUACCGUUGUUAUCCAUGACGAAAUUCUCAAUCACAAUAACUAUACAUUAUCCGAAUGGUUAUUGACGAGUCGACCUGCUCUGUUUGGUCUCGUAGAAGGCUAUGCAAACCCGACUGGAUUCAUUCUUGUCAUCCUUUUCCUCGUAAUAAUGAUUUGUUCGAUGCCGUUUGUUCGACGUGGUGGAUGUUUCGAGAUAUUUUACUGGUCCCAUUUGUUAUACGUACCAUACUGGAUAUUGGUCAUAUUACACGCGCCGAAUUUUUGGAAAUGGUUCAUAGGGCCAGGCACAAUAUAUUUGUUGGAAAGAAUACAUAGAAUUGCCUGGUCUCGUUCGCAAUUAGGAAAAACGUACAUAAGCUCAGGUCUUCUUCUACCGUCGAAAGUCACGCAUUUGGUCAUCAAGAGGCCCCCACAUUUCGUUUUUCAUCCCGGUGAUUACGUCUUCGUGAAUAUUCCUGUUAUAGCCCGUUACGAAUGGCAUCCAUUCACUAUUAGCAGCGCUCCAGAACAAGAAGACUAUAUAUGGCUUCACAUUCGAGCAGUGGGCGAAUGGACCAAUAGUCUUUACUCAUAUUUUGAAAAGGAGCAGAUGAAACUUCAAAGGGAUAAUAUAUUUCCAAUUGAGAAUCGCAAUAAUGCGAACGUUUCUGAGUUAGUCUCCAUGAAUGGAAAAGUGAACGAGAAAUUUCUUUCACCCAUUCAUCGUAGCUUUGAUAAUCCCGUGUUUGCUUCUGAUGAUGAAAAAAUAACACAAUCGCCUCAGUCUGCAAUUGGUAUAACGGAUGUUAAAAAAAUGUCGAACAAUCGGAAGCUUCAUCAUUCACUGCUCGUUAGCAAGAUGCCUUUGGAGAAAUCUGUAUCCGUACCUGACAUGCUACCAGGAAAAAAGAAAAAUGAUCGAUUAAUUGCACUUCGUGAUUAUACAAGAUCAGAAUCAGAGAGAAAUUUCAACGAACGUCAAAUACGCGAUGCACGUUUGAAAUCCUUAAACGAGGUCUAUUCAAGCCCUCAGAAUAAAGGAUUGGCGCAAAGCUUUCGAUACAUGAGGAACAAACCCACUAUAAUUGCUUUCAAGACUCCAAGCUUGGAAAAGUAUGAAUUGGAAUCAGGCGACAAAAAUACAAUACAAGAAUACAGAAGAAAACAAUCCAAUAAUUUAAGCAGGAUUCAAUCGGCAGCAGAGGAGGGUAGAUUGCAAAUAAAAUUCGAAGAAAGUUCAAAAAGGAACGAUAUCGAGUUUGAUUCAAUUUCUCAUUCAUUGAACUAUACUGUUGGAAAACCAUUGGAGAUUUUCUUGGAUGGACCAUACGGAGCUCCUUCAAGCCACAUAUUCCAAGCUCAACACGCAGUUUUAAUUGCAACUGGAAUCGGAGUCACACCUUUUGCUUCCAUAUUACAAUCUAUCAUGCAUCGUUAUUGGAAAGCCAGGCACACUUGUCCAAAAUGCAAAUUUUCGUGGGCUAGUGAAAUUCCUCCUACUGUGAUGCAUCUUCGAAAGGUUGAUUCUUUUGGAUCAACAGAGAUCAACGAUCCUUCGAGUGGUUUGUAAAUUUAUUAUCUCAAUUGGAAAUGGAACAAGCAGAAUUAGGUGACGCCAUGGAACGUUUUCUUGAGAUGCAUAUGUAUAUUACCAGUGCUUUACAAAAAAGUGAUAUGAAAGCUGUAACAUUGCAAUUGGCUAUGGAUUUGGUUCAUCAAAUGGAAAAACGGGAUCUUAUAACAGGUUUGAAGACACGGACGAAUGCUGGCCGACCAAAUUGGGAUAAGGUGUUCAAACAUCUUCAGGAUCAGAAGAAAGGCAAAGUGACGAUCUUUUAUUGUGGCCCACCACAAUUGGCAAGAAUUUUACGUUACAAGUGUGAUCAGUUUGGAUUCAAUUUCAGAAAGGAAUCAUUUUAAAUUUUCUCAAGAAAGGAAUUAUAUCACUAUGAUAUUUUAUUACACCGUAUUGUUGCGAGAUAUUCUUAUAAAAUUCAUCCAUUAUCGUUUUUUUAAGAAUAAUGAUAUAUAUCUUAAUUUUGUAUUGUAUAAUCAAUAAUAUUUAAUUUUGUUUUAUCUAAAAUCAGGAUUUUUUUUUUUUUUUUUAAUUAUUAUACCAAUACUUCAUUUCAUGUUGUUCAAGAUUCUAGCAGUUUCGUGCAUCAACCAAAUUGUCAUUAAUAUCAGCAGAAAAUUUAUCUGUCGUUCCGUCAUUACCAGAAAAUUUAACAAAAUGCCAUUUGACAUUUGAACGAAACAAAAUAACGAUCGUCAAAUUAUUUCCCCAAAUUUAUAGUUACCUUUAAAUAUUUUAAUAACUCCAAAUAUGUAGAAAUUUUGUACAGUAUUUGCAUAAGCUACGUUUUAUGUAGCGUAUAUUUUGAAUAUUUUAAUUUCGCAGAAUUAAUCUUUUCCAAAAUGCCGCGAAUGAAACAUACGUAGACGAAGAGAGCAAAUAGUGAGA